AACGAACGCUGGCGGCAGGCUUAACACAUGCAAGUCGAACGCCCCGCAAGGGGAGUGGCAGACGGGUGAGUAACGCGUGGGAAUCUACCUAGUUCUACGGAACAACAGAGGGAAACUUCUGCUAAUACCGUAUACGCCCUAAGGGGGAAAGAUUUAUCGGAAUUAGAUGAGCCCGCGUAAGAUUAGAUAGUUGGUGGGGUAAUGGCCUACCAAGGCGACGAUCUUUAGCUGGUCUGAGAGGAUGAUCAGCCACACUGGGACUGAGACACGGCCCAGACUCCUACGGGAGGCAGCAGUGGGGAAUAUUGGACAAUGGGCGCAAGCCUGAUCCAGCCAUGCCGCGUGAGUGAUGAAGGCCCUAGGGUUGUAAAGCUCUUUCAGUGGGGACGAUAAUGACGGUACCCACAGAAGAAGCCCCGGCUAACUUCGUGCCAGCCGCCGCUGUAAGAC
rnacentral:rRNA from 1 species